UAAUACAUGCAAGUCGAGCGAACUGAUUAGAAGCUUGCUUCUAUGACGUUAGCGGCGGACGGGUGAGUAACACGUGGGCAACCUGCCUGUAAGACUGGGAUAACUUCGGGAAACCGAAGCUAAUACCGGAUAGGAUCUUCUCCUUCAUGGGAGAUGAUUGAAAGAUGGUUUCGGCUAUCACUUACAGAUGGGCCCGCGGUGCAUUAGCUAGUUGGUGAGGUAACGGCUCACCAAGGCAACGAUGCAUAGCCGACCUGAGAGGGUGAUCGGCCACACUGGGACUGAGACACGGCCCAGACUCCUACGGGAGGCAGCAGUAGGGAAUCUUCCGCAAUGGACGAAAGUCUGACGGAGCAACGCCGCGUGAGUGAUGAAGGCUUUCGGGUCGUAAAACUCUGUUGUUAGGGAAGAACAAGUACGAGAGUAACUGCUCGUACCUUGACGGUACCUAACCAGAAAGCCACGGCUAACUACGUGCCAGCAGCCGCGGUAAUAC
rnacentral:rRNA from 1 species